rnacentral:tRNA from 1 species
AGGAACUUAGGCUAACCAGACCAAAGGCCUUCAAAGCCUUAAGCGAGGAUGAAAACCCCUCAGAUCCUG